rnacentral:rRNA from 1 species
CAGUAGCCACGGUAAAACGGAGGGGGCAAGCGUUAUCCGGAAUUAUUGGGCGUAAAGGGUACGUAGGUGGCCUUUUAAGCGUAGGGUAUAAGGCAAUGGCUCAACCAUUGUUCGCCCUAUGAACUGGAAGGCUUGAGUGCAGGAGAGGAAAGCGGAAUUCCUAGAGUAGCGGUGGAAUGCAUAGAUAUUAGGAGGAACAUCAGCGGCGAAGGCGGCUUUCUGGACUGCAACUGACACUGAGGUACGAAAGCGUGGGGAGCAAACAGGAUUAGAUACCCGAGUAGUCCCUGUCUCUUAUACA